ACAGAACAGAAAACAGGUGACAGGAGCUGAGUUUCAGCCAGUGGGGGGCAGUAGAGAAGUGACAGAAUGUUGGUGUGACUACUUGGUAACAGCCUCCUCUAGGUUCCAACCAUCCACCAGACUAAUACUGUACAUUAACCCGGCGGAUAUAAAUAGAUCAACAGUACUUCCAGCCCAGACUUACUUUGUUCUGUGAGAGUAAACUGGCUCAAGGCCCGGUGCCACUUCAACAAGCAGAGCCACCGUUUGAUAGAUCCAGAGCCGGAGAAGAUUAAUCAUACGUCGUCCCAGGAAAGAGGAGGGAGGGGGUCAGUGUGCAUCUGUUCAGGCUUCAGGUGCUUUUACAGUUGGGAUUUAUCUUUCAGCCACAGAUCUGCUCCAGCUCCUUCUUUCUGCCUGUCUGUAUUUUUCUACUUUCUUCACAAACUUUGCUGAAACAUGCACAUAUACAGUACGUUAUGUACAUACACCAGGGUGUCUACAGGUAUCAGUACUGCUUUUGGAGAAUAUUUUCAAUCAGUUUUAUUUUCUUAUUUAAGUAUUGCAGAUAAAUGUAAAGGUAUGUAAUUUACAUGUAGUUAAGUGUAGAGGUAGGUUUGAUGAUUAUGAGAGUUAGAUUUAUCUACAUUUUAGUGAGAAUAUAAAGACAAAAUAAGGUUUGGAACAUCAGAGGUAUGGACUUGCAAGACAAUAAAUAAAUAUAAGACGAUGAACGUGCCAAAAAAUUCAGAUUUAAAUUUAAGACUAUAUAAUGACCUUGAAGUUGUGACUGUGCAGGAUUUUUACAGUCCAGCACAGUUUCCGUAUUAUUCCUAAGCUCAAUCAGUCAAUUUUCAUCUUCAUCUGAUCGCAUCCUGACACACUCUGAUAGUUUGACUUUCUCAGUGUUCAAUCUGCUGCCAUUUCGGCUUCUCAGCGGAUCUUAGUUUAACCCCUGAAGGCAUCACUUCCUCACCUCCAUCCAUCACCACCACCACCACCAGUGUCAAGCCUCCAAGAUGAACUUCUAAUUCACUUUCUUCUACCACUUCACACUGUUAGCUUCCUGCUAAAGGCUAAAAUAUAUUCUUUGUUCAUGAUAGUACAAUAUACACAUACAGCAAACUUUCUGCAUUUACCCUCAGUCAACUUAAAGAACUGAAGACAAACUUUUUAAAGACCUGCAGACACCCGGAUGAACAUAAGAAAAUCUGUGACACAGCCUGACUGUCUAUGUACAUUUUGUGCGUGUUACAUCUUUUGGUGAAUACUUAAAAGCAUAAAAAUGCAUGUUAUAAAAGUCAGC